UGUGUGAACUCAUAUGUGAUGUGUAGAUGGUGACCUUUCAUGUGCCUUGCUGGACUGUUACAGACCCGAUCUGGUAGACAUGGAGAGGGUGCAAAUCCAAAGUAACCGAGAGAAUCUGGAACAGGCUUUUGAAGUGGCAGAAAGACUGGGGGUCACUCGCCUGCUGGAUGCAGAAGAUGUGGAUGUGCCAUCUCCAGAUGAAAAGUCUGUAAUCACUUAUGUGUCUUCGAUUUAUGAUGCCUUCCCUAAAGUCCCUGAAGGUGGAGAAGGGAUCAGUGCUACGGAAGUGGACUCCAGGUGGCAAGAAUAUCAAAGCCGAGUGGACUCCCUCAUUCCCUGGAUCAAACAGCAUACAAUACUGAUGUCAGAUAAAACUUUUCCCCAAAACCCUGUUGAACUAAAGGUAAAGUCAAGGACUUAAAUUUUUUGGGUAAAAUC
rnacentral:sRNA from 1 species